rnacentral:rRNA from 1 species
AUUGAACGCUGGCGGCAGGCCUAACACAUGCAAGUCGAACGAGUGGCGGACGGGUGAGUAAUGUCUGGGAAACUGCCUGAUGGAGGGGGAUAACUACUGGAAACGGUAGCUAAUACCGCAUACCAUCGGAUGUGCCCAGAUGGGAUUAGAUAGUAGGUGGGGUAAAGGCUCACCUAGGCGACGAUCCCUAGCUGGUCUGAGAGGAUGCCCGGCCAAACUGGAACGGAGACACGGGCCAGACUCCUACGGGAGGCAGCAGUGGGGAAUAUUGCGCAAUGGGCGAAAGCCUGAUGCAGCCAUGCCGCGUGUAUGAAGAAGGCCUUCGGGUUGUAAAGUACUUUCAGCGGGGAGGCGUUACCCGCAGAAGAAGCACCGGCUAACUCCGUGCCAGCAGCCGCGGUAAUAC